rnacentral:rRNA from 1 species
GAUGAACGCUGGCGGCGUGCCUAAUACAUGCAAGUCGAGCGAACAGACGCGGAGCUUGCUCCUCUCACGUUAGCGGCGGACGGGUGAGUAACACGUGGAUACCCUACCUAUAAGACUGGGAUAACUUCGGGAAACCGGAGCUAAUACCGGAUAAUAUAUUGAACCGCAUGGUUCAAUAGUGAAAUACGGUUUUUCUGUCACUUAUAGAUGGAUCCCCGCCUCAUUAGCUAGUUGGUAAGGUAACGGCUUACCACGGCAACGAUGCGUAGCCGACCUGUGAGGGUGAUCGGCCACCUGGGAACUGAGACACGGUCCAGACUCCUACGAGAGGCAGCAGUAGGGAAUCUUCCGCAAUGGGCGAAAGCCUGACGGAGCAACGCCGCGUGAGUGAUGAAGGUCUUCGGAUCGUAAAACUCUGUUAUGAGGGAAGAACAAAUGUGUAAGUAACUAUGCACGUCUUGACGGUACCUAAUCAGAAAGCCACGGCUAACUACGUG